ensembl:snRNA
AAAAAAGGGCUGUGUCAUGAGUGGCACAUGUUGGGCAGUUGCAUUGCUCUUCCUGUGAAAUGGACAUUAAGAGAUUUCAGAAUCAUAAUUUUCUUGUGUCUGAGCAGCUGUGAUCAUUGGUCCCAGUGCCCCA